AACAACUACUUUAUAGGUGGAUGAAGACUUACACCGAAUGAUUCAAUUUCUUCAACAAAGAAAUGUUAAUGUUGUUCACGAUGAACGUGACCUUAAUACUAUUCGUAUUCAUGAGGCAAAGAAAAAACACAAAGCAACAUCAAAGGAGACAAAAAAAGCUAUCCCUUCUGGCAAAGGAAAGGAACAUACAAAUCCCGUGGUAUGGUUUCUUAACAUUUUUAUAAAGUUUGUUUUCCAAAUAUUUAUUAAAUUUUUGUUUUUAUAUAGAUUUUUUUUUAAAGAAUUGCAU